ACGGAGGGGGCAAGCGUUGUCCGGAAUUACUGGGCGUAAAGCGCACGCAGGCGGUUCGGUAAGUCGGAUGUGAAAGACCGGGGCUUAACCCCGGUUUGGGUUUGAUACUGGCGGACUUGAGUGUCGGAGAGGGAAGUGGAAUUCCCGGUGUAGCGGUGAAAUGCGUAGAUAUCGGGAGGAACAUCAGUGGCGAAGGCGGCUUCCUGGCCAACAACUGACGCUGAGGUGCGAAAGCUGGGGGAGCAAACAG
rnacentral:rRNA from 1 species